UUCAGUGGCUGCGUCUUCUCCAGAGACAUAAGAAUCACACAGGCCUGCAGCAGCGGCGCCCGGCAGGGAACCCGCCGCGUGUCAGGCUUGGCCGCCUGACCGCCCUGCAGCCUCCCCCAGCGCACAGGCCUCCAGCUGCACACCAGGCCCUGCCAUCACCUGGCCCUGCCCUCCUCAGUCCUGCCUUCACCUGUCCUGUCCUCACCCAGCCAUGUCUCCUGGCCUGACCCUACCCUCGCCCAGCCCUGUCCUCCUCACCUGCCCUGUUCCUCACCCAGCCCUGAUCCCCUACUGGCCCAGCUUUUGCCAGGCCUUGUCCUGCUACCUGGCCCUACCCUCACCUGACCCUGUCUACCUUGGCGCUGUCCUCCUCACCUGCCAUGUGCUCCUUGGCCAGGUGUCCACCCUGCAGGUCUUCCCUCCAU
rnacentral:lncRNA from 1 species